AAGCUAAAAAUACAACAAGAAAUAAAAAUUUCUUCUUUUGAUACUGCCCUAUGUAACGAGCAGGUAGUGAGGUAGUGUUCUUUUUUCGGACAAUAGUGGACAAUAGGAUAUAAAAUUUAUACGAAUAUCCACGCAGAUUUUUCUUAAAUAAACUAACAAUAUUUUUAUGAAUUUUUGUUAAAAAUCUGUUAAGCCCAAGCUAUUCCAGCAAAAGCUGAGGAUAUUGCUGUUAUUCUAAGGGUCUGUUUUUCACAUGCGGUUACAGUAAUCCGGUAAUCCAUUGCAAGUGGCACGAAUGCAAUCACCUGUUUAUAUCCAGUGAAUUAAUAAUUGAAUACGAUAAUUAUAUAAAAAUGUCUAAUGUAUCGGGUCGCAAUAUCGCACGAUUGUCACGAAUAUUCCAGCCGAUUAUUGCGCAUAUCGCUACCACUAAAAAGACGGAGGUUCCUUCGAAAAGUUAUAAAAAUUUAAUUAAAUAUGGAAUGAUGAAACAAGUAAACAGCGGCAUGUACGCAUUUCUACCUAUGGGCUUGCGGGUUUUAAAUAAAUUGACCGCGAUCGUUGACAAGGAGAUGGAGAAGAUCGGAGCCCAAAAGAUGUUACUUCCAGCUUUAACGUCGAGAGAUUUGUGGGAAAAGACGGACAGACUGAGGGAGAAUAUCUCAGAAUUGUUUCACGUAAAAGACAGGUCUAAUAAACAUUACAUACUUAGUCCAACAUAUGAGGAAACAAUUUGUAAUUUAAUGUCGACUGUAGGAGUAUUGUCAUCAAAGACAUUCCCUGUAAGAUUGUAUCAAGUUUCUACUAAAUGGAGGGAUGAAAUGAAACCAAGACUAGGAUUUCUUAGAAGCAAAGAAUUUCUUAUGAAAGACCUGUAUACGUUUGAUACGAAUAUAAGUGAAGCUCAAGAGACGUAUACGUCUGUGUGCGAAGCUUACGAUAAUAUAUUUAAGAAACUAGGGAUCCAAUUUAUGAAAGCUAUCGGCGAUCCAGGUUCGAUUGGAGGUUCCUUAUCUCACGAGUAUCAUUAUACGUGUAAUAUCGGAGAAGAUACCCUUUGUAUAUGCUCAUCGUGUGAAUACGCUAUUAACAAGACCAUGUGCAAUCAGUCUCAAUGUCCUAAAUGUAACGGCGACUUUCGCGAAGAAAAUACUUCGGAGGUGGGACAUACGUUCCUGUUAGACACGAAAUUCACGAAACCUCUGAACGUGACGCAAAAGUUGAAAAACGAAUCGAUACCUUUGGCAAUGGGUUCUUACGGACUCGGUUUGAGUCGGAUUUUUACAGUCGCCACUGAAAUAUUGUCUACCGAAGAAGAAUUGAGAUUUCCGAAAGCUAUAGCACCUUACACGGUGUGCGUUAUACUGCCGAAGAAAGGCAGUAAGGAAGAAACCGGGUCUCAGUACUUGAACGAAAUAAUAGAGACUUUAGAUCGAUUAAACAUUGAUUUCGUACUCGACGAUAGAACGAAUUUGACAAUUGGCAAUCGAUUGAUGCAUUCUCGUGUGUCCGGAUUUCCUUAUGCCAUCGUAAUUGGGAAAUCCACUAUAAGAUCUCCGCCUUUGAUCGAAGUUCACGAUAUAUACGAUUCGACGAGUUACGAACUACCUACGGAGGAUAUACCUAACUAUUUCAAUGACCGAGCUAUGAAGAUUUGAGGAGAUACUUGUUUGAGGAGAAUCCCAUUUAAUGUUUCUCGAUGAAACAAGUUACUUAUUUUUUUAAUAAACGUUUCAGGUUGCACAUUGUACGACGCGUCUACAGCUUUCGCCCAAAUUUCUGUUUCCUUCCAGCCUUUCUGAACGGGGAGAUCUAUACUCCA